AACGAACGCUGGCGGCAGGCUUAACACAUGCAAGUCGAGCGCGUAGCAAUACGAGCGGCAGACGGGUGAGUAACGCGUGGGAAUCUACCGAGCCCUAAGGAAUAGCUCCGGGAAACUGGAAUUAAUACCUUAUACGCCCUUUGGGGGAAAGAUUUAUCGGGGUUUGAUGAGCCCGCGUUGGAUUAGCUAGUUGGUGGGGUAAAGGCCUACCAAGGCGACGAUCCAUAGCUGGUCUGAGAGGAUGAUCAGCCACAUUGGGACUGAGACACGGCCCAAACUCCUACGGGAGGCAGCAGUGGGGAAUAUUGGACAAUGGGCGCAAGCCUGAUCCAGCCAUGCCGCGUGAGUGAUGAAGGCCCUAGGGUUGUAAAGCUCUUUCACCGGUGAAGAUAAUGACGGUAACCGGAGAAGAAGCCCCGGCUAACUUCGUGCCAGCAGCCGCAGUAACAC
rnacentral:rRNA from 1 species